UACAGAGGGUGCUAGCGUUGUUCGGAAUCAUUGGGCGUAAAGGGCGUGUAGGCGGUUUGUUAAGUCAUGUGUGAAAUCCCUCGGCUCAACCGGGGAACGACGCAUGAAACUGGCAAGCUAGAGUACCAAAGAGGGGGGUGGAAUUCCCGGUGUAGCGGUGAAAUGCGCAGAUAUCGGGAGGAACACCAAUUGCGAAGGCAGCUCGCUGGGACGUCACUGACGCUGAGACGCGAAAGCGUGGGGAGCAAACAGG
rnacentral:rRNA from 1 species